rnacentral:rRNA from 1 species
CAGUCGUACCAACGGGAAAUCAACCUCUUGAGUUUGGUCUUGUGGGUUUCGAAGAGUUUAAAAACCUUCGGAUUUGCGAGGAUUGGGCUCUUCUGGUGUACUUUCUCGUACGGUUGGUCAACAUCGGUUUUGAAUGUCAUAAAAUGACUGGAGGAAUGUGGCUUCGAUCUCGCAUUGAAGUGUUAUAGUCUUCGGCAGAUGUGAUGAUCGGGAUUGAGGAUUGCAACGGAUACCCGUUCGGGGCUACCCGUCUGAUCUCUGAUAC